rnacentral:rRNA from 1 species
GAGUUUGAUCGUGGCUCAGGACGAACGCUGGCGGCAUGCCUAAUACAUGCAAGUCGAACGAGGUUUCCUUAAUGAUAGUUGGUGCUUGCAUUAAUUUGACUUAAGAUCUAACCGAGUGGCGAACUGGUGAGUAACACGUGGGGAACCUGCCCUUAAGUAGGGGAUAACAUUUGGAAACAAAUGCUAAUACCGUAUAACAACAUAAACCACAUGGUUAUGUUUGAAAGAUGGCUCUGCUAUCGCUUUUGGAUGGACCCGCGGCGUAUUAGCUAGUUGGUGAGAUAAUGGCUCACCAAGGCGAUGAUACGUAGCCGACCUGAGAGGGUAAUCGGCCACAUUGGAACUGAGACACGGUCCAGACUCCUACGGGAGGCAGCAGUGAGGAAUAUUGGUCAAUGGACGAGAGUCUGAACCAGCCAAGUAGCGUGAAGGAUGACUGCCCUAUGGGUGUUAAACUUCUUUUAUU